CCGCCGAAUUCAACUAGUGAUUAACCUUACCAACUCUUGACGUCCCAUUGACCGCUUGAGAGAUCAAGUUUUCCCUUCCGGGGACAAUGGUGACAGGUGGUGCAUGGUUGUCGUCAGCUCGUGUCGUGAGAUGUUGGGUUAAGUCCCGCAACGAGCGCAACCCCUAUCCUUAGUUGCCAGCAUUGAGUUGGGCACUCUAGGGAGACUGCCGGUGACAAACCGGAGGAAGGUGGGGAUGACGUCAAAUCAUCAUGCCCCUUAUGAGUUGGGCUACACACGUGCUACAAUGGACGGUACAAAGGGCAGCGAGACCGCGAGGUGGAGCCAAUCCCAUAAAGCCGUUCCCAGUACGGAUUGCAGGCUGCAACUCGCCUGCAUGAAGUCGGAAUCGCUAGUAAUCGCAGGUCAGCAUACUGCGGUGAAUACGUUCCCGGGUCUUGUACACACCG
rnacentral:rRNA from 1 species